AGGGUUUUAAACCUUAAACUGAGCUUUUCCAUGCAAUCAGCAUUAGGGUUUUAAACCCUGAACUGAAUUUUUCCUUUAGUCAGCAUUAGGGUUUUAAACCCUGAACUGAAUUUUUUUUCCAUUCAGCCAGCAUUAGGGUUUUAAACCCUAAACUGAACUUUUUUCCAUUCAGCCAGCAUUAGGGUUUUAAACCCUAAACUGAGCUUUUCCAUGCAAUCAGCAUUAGGUUUUAAACCCUAAACUGAAUUUUUCCUUUAGUCAGCAUUAGGGUUUUAAACCCUAAACUGAAUUUUUCAUGCAAUCAGCAUUAGGGUUUUAAACCCUAAACUGAAUUUUUCCUUUAGCCAGCAUUAGGGUUUUAAACCCUGAACUGAAUUUUUCCUUUAGUCAGCAUUAGGGUUUUAAACCCUGAACUGAAUUUUUUUUUUCCAUUCAGCCAGCAUUAGGGUUCUAAACCCUAAACUGAGCUUUUCCAUGCAAUCAGCAUUAGGGUUUUAAACCCUGAACUGAAUUUUUCCUUUAGUCAGCAUUAGGGUUUUAAACCCUAAACUGAAUUUUUUCCUUUCAGCCAGCAUUAGGGUUUUAAACCCUAACUGAGCUUUUCCAUGCAAUUAGCAUUAGGGUUUUAAACCCUAAACUGAACUCUUUCCAUUCAGCCAGCAUUAGGGUUUUAAACCCUAAACUGAGCUUUUUCCAUGCAUGUCAGCAUUAGGGUUUUAAACCCUAAACUGAACUCUUUCCUUUAGUCAGCAUUAGGGUUUUAAACCCUGAACUGAACUUUUUCCUUUAAUCAGCAUUAGGGUUUUAAACCCUAAACCGAACUUUUCCCCAGUUGGUCAGUAUUAGAGUUUCAACUCUAAACUGAACCUUUCCCCAGCUAGACGAUAUCAGGGCUCCAACCCUGAACUGAGCA
rnacentral:lncRNA from 1 species